CAAGAGCAUUUUCAAUCAAUGGGAAUUGGCCCCAGUACAUUCGCACAGUCCAUGCUUGCAAUGGUGUACCCGCAGUUCUGUCUACAAUAUUCAAGAGUUGUCGGCAUCAGUGUCCCAUGCAGACCAGAAAACCUUGAUGGUCCUCUCCAGCAUGUGAUGAGGCUGGACCAUUCCCAGAGAGAACGGCAAAAAGCAGGACGACCAUUCCAGGCAAGAACGCGAAUGCGUACGUGGAAUGGGAAAUCAUUCUACGAUGGAAACCAGCCUCGGCGAUGGUUCGUUUCGAAAUAGUCUGCGCUGGAACGGUCGUGGGAGUCUGAAACGGAGGGAGAGUCUCGUUGCACCUUGGAUCGUUUUGCUUCCCAUUCCUUACUGGCAAAAACGCCCCUGUCUGCGAUCUGAAGUCGCUUCAAUUUUGACUGCGUUCGUUGUGUCAGAGCUCCGAUCCGCACACUCUGUCUUUCGCUUAACAUGGACUUGUUGCUGGCGGAUUUUAAGCUGGAUUUGAAACUUGUAUCCUGAUCGCGACAAGCGGGGUAUACUAUGGAGAGAGACUGAGCGAGGAGGAAAAACUUUGGCGAUGGAGACAGUAGAAGUGCGAAACAUGCAGAACGAGGACUCAGAAUCGCUGGAGGUGGUAGUGGCAGAGCAUUUGAAACAGCUGCAGAAGAAGCAAAAAUUCGAAUUUGCAGCACAAGCUCUUACUAGUAUUGUUCAAGAGCGUUAUGCAGAUGCAACUCCAGCAGAACAGAAUGCAAUUUAUGGGGCAGUCUGUAGAGCAGCCACACUUUUGACGAUUAGAUUUACUGGAACAGCCUUUGGGUGUCUGGUCUUCUGCUUUUUGAAUCUGCUGCAGCUGUUGUAAAACGGCCAGAAGAGAAGAAGAAAAUCAGUGAAUACUUCAAAUUGGCAAAUGAAUUUAUUGGAGAGCAAAUAGAGAGAGAUGAACCACCUCCUUCUAUGCAUGCGGGCCCCAGUAAUCGAGGGCAUCUUUCUGAGGGCCAGUUUUCUGUUGGAGGUGGAGUGGAAGCACCGCCUUUGCAGUGGUUGCAGUCGCAGAAUCUCCUCAAUUCUAUUUUACGAGAACGCUUUCAACAGAUGGCAACACGGGAGGAAAUUAUUUCUGGUGAGGAUCGCAAUGAGGUGCAACAACUAACGGAAGAGAUACCAACCAUAAUGGAUACAGUCAAUUCCACACUUGCUGGAAAUCGGUAGUGUUUCUCGAGGCCCACCCCCAGCAUCUAAGAAGGAAGUUGCAAAGCUCCCAAUAGUUGAAGUCAGAAAGGAGUAUCUUGAAAAAGUGGGCGAAGAUACCGAGUGUGCUGUUUGUCAGGAGACAAUGGUAGC